UGCCUGUACAACCACUGUUACACCCUCAUCCAAACCAAAACAAUUUUACAACUUCUAUAUCGGAUACUGCCAGUCCAGGGCUUUUAAGACCGGUUUGCAAUGGAACAGAUGAAAAUUUCUUUUUUGACCUUUCCUUUGCAAACACAGGUCUCCUUGCUAUUAACUUGGAAAUAUCCUUCAUCACAAAUCAGUACAGUCGAUAAUACCUCUCUAAUUUAAAGAUUAGUAUAUACCUAUCAUCUCUUGUACCUAUACCAAACCAAUGCAACUAAUU
rnacentral:lncRNA from 1 species